UUCACCAUUUUGGCCAGGCUGGUCUUGAACUCCUGACCUCAAAUGAUCCACUUGCCUCGGCCUUCCAAAGUGCUGGCAUUAUAGGCGUGAGCCACAGCACCUGGCCCUGCUCCAGACUUCUGAAUGAAGUAUGAAUGUAGCCAGGUGAACCACUGAGGCAGCUGAAAGACAACAUUGAGAGGAAGUAGGGGGUUUAGUGUCUCUGCUCGGCCUGGGCACUAGAACUAAGGGAGGAAUUUAAUGUCUAGGACUUACAGUUGAAGAAGAAGUAACCUGUCUCCCCCAAAAAAAUCAGAGGAUGAAGGAAGUAAAAUGAAGUUUUUAAAGCAUAAGAAGUAAAUUUCUAAACCGCAAGGUCAGAAACCUGAGUGUGAUUUUUAAUAGGGUGAUUUUGGCAGGGGAGUCUUUUAAGACAUGAAUGUGCAGUCCAUCAUAAUCUCAGAUAAUCUUCUAUGUGAUCCAGACUAUUAAAAGGCUUAUUUUAUUUAUUUAUUUAUUUUUAUUUUUAUUUUUUUAGAGAUAGGCUCUUGCUACCUUGCCCAACCUGGAGUCAAAUUCCUGGGCUCAAGCCUUCCUCCCACCUCAGCCUCCCAAGUAGCUGGGACUACAGGUGUGUGCUAUUGUACCCAGCUUAAGAGGCUUGUUUUAAUGCUGCAGUUGCUGAUUCUACCAGCAUACAUAAGAAUAAAGUCUGAUUUAUUUCUCCAUUGAUUUAGAAGGCAAUCGGAUGAAAGGGUCUUAGAAGUCUAUACUACGCACCAGUAUUUAGCAUAUUAAAUUUAUUUUAAAUCCUGUUUCAUUGUGCCCCUUUAAAAGUGCAAAUUACUUGUUUUAUUCAUUCCUCUCUCCCCAUAAUCUCUUUCAGAUUACCUUAUAAGGAAUAUAACAUGAAACUCAGUUUCCUGGCUGUCCCCCUCCACACAUACAAAUACAUACGUGCAUGCACACACACUUCCAGAUGUGGUUGAUAAUAUUCAGAUCCCCAGGUUAUUCAUUCAAACAAAACUAAAGGAGAAAACUAUUUAGGGGCCAUCGCUUUAAAGUUUAAGGUGUUUUGUUGUUGUUUUUUUGGUGCCUGUACAAAUUGACCAAAAAACCCAGAUUGAUUAGUGAAUAUGGAUUUGAAUUGCCUACAUUGAGGCUAUUAAGGUACUUCUUUACUUAAAAAUAAGUUUAAAAGACCCUAUUCAUCAGGUCAUGAAGAUCUUGGAAAUGGUGUUUCUCUACUCAAAGGGUAUACCCACAGGCAGGUCCAUGGGGACUUCCCCUGGUGAUCCCUGCUAUUAAGGCAAAUUCCAGCCUGUCUGGGCCAAGGAUAGUCAAGAGAGAACGAAGACUCAAGGGUGUGCGCACUGGCUUGUAUUUUGUCAGGCAGAAGUCUUACUCCUUUCUCAAGAAAACUUCAGGCUCAUCAAGCUUGGAAGGAAAUACAUUUUUUAUGCUGAUUUGCAGCCUGUGCCAGCUGAUGGAUAUGCUAGGACUUUGAGAAUACAGAGCAUGGAAUUGUUUCCAGAUAACCUGCUGUGUGUACUUCUCAGCUGCUCUGCUCACCUUUGCCCACCUUCCAGUGACCCUGAGAGCACAGAUCCAAAUAAUGUGACCUGUGCAGAGCUCAGAGAACUGUGAGGACUACCCAUGCCUGUCAGACUCUGCUCAGGGACAGAGAUGGAUGGGUAAAUGGUGCUGUUGGAGACAUUUUUAUCUUCAAACCAGGCUGUUUCAUCCCUGCACCCCAUACCCCCAUCCACUCCCCUGAGGGGGUAAAAUGCAGAGGUGGUUGGCUGCAGGGUCUAAUCUCCUCCUUCCCCAGCUGUGGGGCCUACUCUGGAGUGCUGCAGUGUGUGGGAGCUGCUCCUUGCUUGUUUCUCCACCAGGCCUGUUCCAAAUGCUUAGCCAAUCUCUGGAGCUGAUAGUUGCCUAUGGGGUAACUUAGCAUCAGAUUCCAUUAGCUCUCCAAGUGACUGUUUCCACCCAGUACUUUUGGCGCUUGAGGAUGGGGAGGGGUGUUAUUUAAAGUAAAUAAAAAUCCGAGGUGGCAGUAGAGGAUUCCUUUUGCUUUAAAAAUCUUUGGACUAAAAAAAAAAAUAAAUAAGUUUUUUUAUAUAUAAAUAUAUAAAUUGUUAUGUAACUAUUAUUGUUUCCUGUAUGUUCUAAUUUUGUUUUAUGAUGUAAUUAAAGAAAAUAAGCUGUGAAGACUUUU